rnacentral:rRNA from 2 species
AACACGUGGGUAACCUGCCCUUAAGUGGGGGAUAACAUUUGGAAACAGAUGCUAAUACCGCAUAAAUCCAAGAACCGCAUGGUUCUUGGCUGAAAGAUGGCGUAAGCUAUCGCUUUUGGAUGGACCCGCGGCGUAUUAGCUAGUUGGUGAGGUAACGGCUCACCAAGGCAAUGAUACGUAGCCGAACUGAGAGGUUGAUCGGCCACAUUGGGACUGAGACACGGCCCAAACUCCUACGGGAGGCAGCAGUAGGGAAUCUUCCACAAUGGACGCAAGUCUGAUGGAGCAACGCCGCGUGAGUGAAGAAGGCUUUCGGGUCGUAAAACUCUGUUGUUGGAGAAGAAUGGUCGGCAGAGUAACUGUUGUCGGCGUGACGGUAUCCAACCAGAAAGCCACGGCUAACUACGUGCCAGCAGCCGCGGUAAUACGUAGGUGGCAAGCGUUAUCCGGAUUUAUUGGGCGUAAAGCGAGCGCAGGCGGUUUUUUAAGUCUGAUGUGAAAGCCCUCGGCUUAACCGAGGAAGUGCAUCGGAAACUGGGAAACUUGAGUGCAGAAGAGGACAGUGGAACUCCAUGUGUAGCGGUGAAAUGCGUAGAUAUAUGGAAGAACACCAGUGGCGAAGGCGGCUGUCUGGUCUGUAACUGACGCUGAGGCUCGAAAGCAUGGGUAGCGAACAGGAUUAGAUACCCUGGUAGUCCAUGCCGUAAACGAUGAAUGCUAGGUGUUGGAGGGUUUCCGCCCUUCAGUGCCGCAGCUAACGCAUUAAGCAUUCCGCCUGGGGAGUACGACCGCAAGGUUGAAACUCAAAGGAAUUGACGGGGGCCCGCACAAGCGGUGGAGCAUGUGGUUUAAUUCGAAGCAACGCGAAGAACCUUACCAGGUCUUGACAUCUUUUGAUCACCUGAGAGAUCAGGUUUCCCCUUCGGGGGCAAAAUGACAGGUGGUGCAUGGUUGUCGUCAGCUCGUGUCGUGAGAUGUUGGGUUAAGUCCCGCAACGAGCGCAACCCUUAUGACUAGUUGCCAGCAUUUAGUUGGGCACUCUAGUAAGACUGCCGGUGACAAACCGGAGGAAGGUGGGGAUGACGUCAAAUCAUCAUGCCCCUUAUGACCUGGGCUACACACGUGCUACAAUGGAUGGUACAACGAGUUGCGAGACCGCGAGGUCAAGCUAAUCUCUUAAAGCCAUUCUCAGUUCGGACUGUAGGCUGCAACUCGCCUACACGAAGUCGGAAUCGCUAGUAAUCGCGGAUCAGCACGCCGCGGUGAAUACGUUCCCGGGCCUUGUACACACCGCCCGUCACACCAUGAGAGUUUGUAACACCCGAAGCCGGUGGCGUAACCCUUUUAGGGAGCGAGCCGUCUAAGGUGGGACAAAUGAUUAGGGUGAAGUCGUAACAAGGUAGCCGUAGGAGAACCUGCGGCUGGAUCACCU